rnacentral:rRNA from 1 species
AGUGAACGCUGGCGGUAGGCCUAACACAUGCAAGUCGAACGGCAGCACAGUAAGAGCUUGCUCUUAUGGGUGGCGAGUGGCGGACGGGUGAGGAAUACAUCGGAAUCUACCUUUUCGUGGGGGAUAACGUAGGGAAACUUACGCUAAUACCGCAUACGACCUGGUGAAGCAGGGACCGUUCGGCCGUUGUCGCGGAGUAG